rnacentral:misc_RNA from 1 species
UCUCAGUAAACUCAGAUAAAUAAUUCUGAAAUAUCUGUAUGCAAACGAGUAUAUUAGAAGAAACAUGGAAAGGGGAAGUGUGGUGCUGCUCCAUAUAUCAUUCAGGAAUAAACACGAGCCAACCAGAGAGUCACAAUGUGAAAAAAAGAAAAGGAGCAUGGUCAUUCUUUAGAUAAAAUUCAUACAAUUAUAAUUUCAAAAUUUCUAACUUAUAUUUCUGCCAAAUAUAGAACCUAAGCAGAAACAUUUACUCUAUACAAUGUGUUGGAAUAAAAUCUCAAUUCUCUUGCAAAAUUUGAAGCAAUACCAUUCGGGCGAAUCAAGAGAUUAGGGAAAAGAAUUCCUCUAGCCGACUUUCAUUUAUCACCACACCAUGUUUUUGGUUGAAAACUAAAUUGAUAGAUUCAGCCCCCACAUUUGUCAACUCAUUAGAUGCAUGGAUCUCCAUGUAUUCAUUCAAGUUGUUCACAGUCCCAUCUGCAAAUUUGCAUUCAGGAAAAAAAAAUUAAUGUAAAACCAUGGAGCAAUGGACCUCCAAAUUCUGUAUUUCAAAUCAAUGAUCUUUAGAAGGAAUUUAGUUGUUCUUACUAAAAAGCUAAAUGCAAUCUCAAAACUAUAACUAAUACCAUUAAAUCUCUCUUAUAUGUCAUACAGAUGCAGGUAACUAGCAAAUGUGCAUUCCACUGUCACCUUUCUUUCUGCAUAUGGAGAAUAUCUUCCGAAUCAAUUUAAAUAUUAAAUUCUCCAAGGUUUCAGUUUGAUUGCAUUUAAAACUCUGAUGGGAGUCAGCUUAAUUCAGCCACCUAUGCAUCUUAUAGAACGAUAGCAUAGGACAUCUUUUUCCCCCUUAAUGACAGAAGAUACAGCCAACUAAGCCUUCAUCCAAACUAGUUGGGGUUGGACUUAACACAAGAAAACUAAGGAAAAAUUUCUCUCAGACUAAUUGAAAAUACUACCAUCAGAGUAUAGGCUUAAGAAUCAAAUUAUCUCCUUUGGGCAUAACUACCUAUGAAAGAUUAGCUUGGUAGUGGUACAAUAUACUUCUUCAGUCUAAGUAUAUAAUUACCAUGAUAAGAAUCAGAAAAAUUGGAAAUGAAAAUCAAUCGAUACGUUAACCAUCAUAUCUAUAAGAUCAAAACAAAGAAUACAAUAUUUAAGGAGCUUUAAGCAACUUUGUGUCGGAUCUCACAAACACUGAAACAGACUUGUUAAACACUGAAACAGACUUGUUAUGUUCAAAUUGAAUGGGCACAAGUUUUUGUCUUGGUUGUUUACAGAUAACUUACCUUCAGCUACUAUUGGUUCAUAAGCAGGAGGCUGAGCAAUCCAGUUCCCAGCAGAUUCUUUCAUGUGUCUUCUAUCAGAUGCAAAGUUGCGGAGGAAUAAUGGAGCAUGCACAAUCCUAAAGAACCUCUGGUAGUCAGAAAAGAGCUGAAAUGAUGGCCGGAUAGUCUCAGAAAUGUACACAGCCAAUGGAGAGGGAAAGGGAAGACUCGAGUCUAAAUCCCACACUACAUAAGGAGAGUCACCAUCCCCUUUUCUCUGAAUGCAAAUGACAUGAUAAUCCCAAAGGACAAUCCCAUCUGCUCUCUUACUGGCCUUUUGAUGCCACAGAGGAACCUGUUUAUUUUCAUUGGAAAUGAAAGCAACAAAGAGAUCAGAUCCCUCAGCAUCUGCUAUUCCUUUCUGGCACAGUUUCUUGCAAAGGAAGUAUACAUUCUCCUCACAGUAAAAUGGAGUAUGAUCGAAUUGAGAAACGUUCACUUCGCUUACUCUUACUUCCAAGUUUGCACUCGUCAUCUUCCUUCUCUUUCCGGUCAAGCUUUUUUCUCCUACCAACUUACCAUCAUUUCCUUAUAUACCUCCAAAACUCAGUAAAAACGACGUCGUUUUAAUAUGUAAACGGUAAACCAUAUGCCAUUUAUUUGCGAAAAGGUCGCAUGAACGACGCCCCGUUUAAUGUUUCUCUAACCAUUUUUACAAUUAAUACAAGCAAAUAUCACCGCCACAGCCGCCAAAAAUGGAAUUGGAACCACAACCAGAGACGUCUGCGCCGUCGCAUCGCCGUCGUUCAAGCUGCAGUAACUGCAAUCGGCCACUCCCAGUCUGCCUCUGCCACGUAAUCCCCACCUCACCAAUUCCAACUGCGACACAAAUCAUAAUAAUUCAACACCCACACGAAUCCCGCCACAAGCUCAAUACUACACCUGCACUCACCAAAUGCCUACUCAACGCCACCUCUCUCAUAUCCCGCCGCCUAACCCCUAACCUCCACCCUCUCCUCACCAACAACCACCCCUCUCCGGCUACAUUUUACCUCUUCCCUCCUACCCAUUCUUCGCCGGCCAUAACCUUAUCGGACCUCAAAAAAUCCGUUAACGAAUUCCGAAAUACCAACAAUGUUCCUGUGGUUUUAAUCGUGUUUGAUGCGACAUGGAAGCAUGCGAAGGAGAUGGUGAGCGCAAGCGAAGGAUAUUUAAGCAAAUUCUCUACGAGAGUGUGUUUGGAUGGAUUUGAUGAGGGUAGGGAAGGAGGGAGCAUAUAUGACUCGGAGUUGGUAUUGCGGAAGGAGCCGUGCGGUGGUUGCGUGAGCACUUUGGAGGCGGUGGCAAGGUGGUUGGGGGCGAUGGAGGAGAAUGGGCCGGAGAUUGAAGAAAGAUUGAUUGUGGUAUUGAGAGAGAUGGUUAGGUUGCAGGCUCAGUUCUUGAAGCCCAUGAAGCCCAGGCCCAAGAAGGCCCAAAAUUGAUCUAGGCUUCUACUCUACUCUGCUAGUGUUCCCAUUAUCGUACUCCUUGUUCCAUUAUUGGUGUGAAUUUAU